UACGAAGGGGGGCUAGCGUUGCUCGGAAUUACUGGGCGUAAAGCGCACGUAGGCGGCUUUCUAAGUCGGGGGUGAAAUCCUGGAGCUCAACUCCAGAACUGCCUUCGAUACUGGAGAGCUCGAGUCCGGGAGAGGUGAGUGGAACUGCGAGUGUAGAGGUGAAAUUCGUAGAUAUUCGCAAGAACACCAGUGGCGAAGGCGGCUCACUGGCCCGGGUACUGACGCUGAGGUGCGAAAGGCGUGGGGAGCAAACAGG
rnacentral:rRNA from 1 species